AUUGAACGCUGGCGGCAGGCCUAACACAUGCAAGUCGAACGAGUGGCGGACGGGUGAGUAAUGUCUGGUAAACUGCCCGAUGGAGGGGGAUAACUACUUGAAAAGGUAGCUAAUACCGCCUACCAUCGGAUGUGCCCCGAUGGGAUUGGCUAGUAGGUGUGGUAACGGCUCACCUAGGCGCCGAUCCCUAGCUGGUCUGAGAGGAUGACGAGCAACACUGGAACUGAGACACGGUCCAGACUCCUACGGGAGGCAGAAGUGGGAAAUAUUGCACAAUGGGCGAAAGCCUGAUGCAGCCAUGCCGCGUGUAUGAAGAAGGCCUUCGGGUUGUAAAGUACUUUCAGCGGGGAGGCGUUACCCGAAGAAGAAGCACCGGCUAACUCCGUGCCAGCAGCCGCGGUAAUAC
rnacentral:rRNA from 1 species